rnacentral:rRNA from 1 species
UAAAAUUGCAGUUGAUACUGUCAGUCUUGAGUACAGUAGAGGUGGGCGGAAUUCGUGGUGUAGCGGUGAAAUGCUUAGAUAUCACGAAGAACUCCGAUUGCGAAGGCAGCUCACUGGACUGCAACUGACACUGAUGCUCGAAAGUGUGGGUAUCAAACAGGAUUAGAUACCCUGGUAGUCCACACAGUAAACGAUGAAUACUCGCUGUUUGCAAGGGCCAAGCAAAAGCAUUAAGUAUUCCACCUGGGGAGUACGCCGGCAACGGUGAAACUCAAAGGAAUUGACGGGGGCCCGCACAAGCGGAGGAACAUGUGGUUUAAUUCGAUGAUACGCGAGGAACCUUACCCGGGCUUAAAUUGAAGGUGCUGCAUGGUUGUCGUCAGCUCGUGCCGUGAGGUGUCGGCUUAAGUGCCAUAACGAGCGCAACCCUUAUCUUCAGUUACGACUCUGGAGAGACUGCCGUCGUAAGAUGGAGGAAGGUGGGGAUGACGUCAAAUCAGCACGGCCCUUACGUCCGGGGCUACACACGUGUUACAAUGGGGGGUACAGAAGGCAGCUAGCGGGUGACCGUAUGCUAAUCCCAAAAUCCUCU